rnacentral:rRNA from 1 species
CAACUUUCAGCAACGGAUCUCUUGGCUCUCGCAUCGAUGAAGAACGCAGCGAAAUGCGAUAAGUAAUGUGAAUUGCAGAAUUCAGUGAAUCAUCGAAUCUUUGAACGCACCUUGCGCUCCUUGGUAUUCCUUGGAGCAUGCCUGUUUGAGUGUCAUUA